CAGUAGCCGCGGGAAUACGUAGGGUGCGAGCGUUAAUCGGAAUUACUGGGCGUAAAGCGUGCGCAGGCGGUGAUGUAAGACAGUUGUGAAAUCCCCGGGCUUAACCUGGGAACUGCAUUUGUGACUGGCGGGCUAGAGUAUGGCAGAGGGGGGUAGAAUUCCACGUGUAGCAGUGAAAUGCGUAGAGAUGUGGAGGAAUACCGAUGGCGAAGGCAGCCCCCUGGGCCAAUACUGACGCUCAUGCACGAAAGCGUGGGGAGCAAACAGGAUUAGAUACCCCCGUAGUCCCUGUCUCUUAUAC
rnacentral:rRNA from 1 species